UAGGGCUGCUUAUCCCCAACCAGUUCCCUACGGUUACCAACCUGGGUUCUUCUAUCCUCCUUAUGGGUAUGCAACUUAUGGGUCUGAAUAUGUCUAUCCACAGGGUGUUUACAAUCCUUAUGCGGGUCAGCAAUAUGUUCAGGUAUACGGCAUGCCAGGGACUGUUAAUCCUGGGGUAAGCUCACGGGGACAGUUUGGCCAACCAAUUCCUGGCACUCAUGGCUAUACCACUGCUCAAACUGCUCAAAAUUAUUUAAUGCCAGGUCAUCAAAUUGCGCAAUUUGGUGGACUUGCCAAUAAUAGAACAGCCACAGCUACCUUUCCCUCAAAUCAAGCACCACAUCCUUCAGGAAUGGGUAAUCCCGAUUCAGGACAGGCACAGAUAAUAGUGUCUACUAAUUCUCCUCAAUUCACUAGCGGCUCUGAUUAAACAGCCAGUUGAGUGAUUGACAGGUAUCCUUUAUUGCAGCAAGAUUAAGAAAAUUAAUACUGAUUGAUUUCAAAUUCCAGCCUUGGAAGUUGUUAUGUUUUCAUUGUAAAGGCAAUCCAUAAUCGUCGUCAUCAGAGAGAACACAAAGGAAUGUAGGCAAGCCUGACAUCUGAAGUAAGGAACAUGCAGAAAGUUGAUCUUUGGCUAGUGUCUUUGAGAUUCUGCUCCUGCCACGACUUCCAGUCGCUGGUAGUGGCUGGGGGUAAAUUGAUGAUUAUGUACAUAUGUGAAUAUGUAAAUCUCACAACUUAAAAUCAAAACGUUAUUUUUUUAGUUGUCUGGAU
rnacentral:misc_RNA from 1 species